rnacentral:tRNA from 1 species
GGGGAUAUGGCGAAAUGGUAGACGCAUCGGACUUAAAAUCCGAGCAGGGUAAUUCUUGGUGAGGGUUCAAGUCCCUCUUUCCCCA